rnacentral:rRNA from 1 species
UACGUAGGUGGCAAGCGUUAUCCGGAUUUAUUGGGCGUAAAGGGAACGCAGGCGGUCUUUUAAGUCUGAUGUGAAAGCCUUCGGCUUAACCGGAGUAGUGCAUUGGAAACUGGGAGACUUGAGUGCAGAAGAGGAGAGUGGAACUCCAUAUGUAGCGGUGAAAUGCGUAGAUAUAUGGAGGAACACCGGUGGCGAAAGCGGCUCUCUGGCCUGUAACUGACACUGAGGCUCGAAAGCGUGGGGAGCAAACAGG